CUGUAAAUGAGAAUAUACAUCGGUCAACGUGACUUCUAUUCAACAUCUAUGGUCGCAAUCCCAAGGUUCAUUGCGAUCCCAAGGUCCACUGCGGUUUUCCACGCGAUGCAGAACCUUUAGACACUGGAUUGAUGUUCUGGAUUAAGUCCAAUGUAUUUAUUGGAAAACAGUAGAGAAAUCUGCAAAUAAGUGGGUUGCAGACAUAAUUAUUUAUCUGUCUUCCAUACAUGUAGCAAAAGAAUGCAGAGGCCAUAUGAAUUCAUCUUGACUAAGGAACUCUUCCCAGCACUGCAUCUGAACAGUCACAACCUCACAGAGCAGCACAACCACCCCACUCAGGAUCAGUGUUAUGGUGCCAUUUUGAAGCUGGAACCUCAUCUUGUGUACAGAAAAAGUAGAGUUGAAAAUUCACUGGUUGUCUUGUAUUGUGUGUGGCAAAACCUGGGAUAACACAUGGGAGCCUUCCAGGAAUUUCCGACACUUUACACCCAAGUCUCCUCAUGCCAACCGGUUUGCAAUAUGACAGUCUAGUCACCAUAAACACCUGGACUCGCCAAGCACACAUUGGUUCUCAGUGUUUUGU